rnacentral:rRNA from 1 species
UACGUAGGUGGCAAGCGUUGUCCGGAAUUAUUGGGCGUAAAGCGCGCGCAGGCGGUCUCUUAAGUCUGAUGUGAAAUCCCGUGGCUUAACCACGGGCGGUCAUUGGAAACUGGGGGACUUGAGUGCAGAAGAGAAGAGCGGAAUUCCACGUGUAGCGGUGAAAUGCGUAGAGAAUGUGGAGGAACACCAGUGGCGAAGGCGGCCUGCUGGGCAGUAGCUGACAC